CUCUGUCACAGGAGCACCUGGGAAACCUCAGGUCAUUGGCUCUAGGGCCUAUGGGAGGGUCCCCACCCCGACCCUGAACAGGACAGGGGAAGGGAGAACACCCAGGGAACUGAAUCGUGAAACGCGGGAAGUAAACACGGUCCUGCCAUGUUUGCAAGGCGAUUUCCCACAGUGAGCAUGCAAAAAGAAGGGUCAUAGCUGGAGAGUGCACGGCAGCUCCAAGGGCUCUGUUCCUUGUACUUUCUCUGGCGAUUACUCUUAUUUUUCUGCAGCUCAACAAGGACAGUCCGCUGAUGUGAGCGUCUUGUGACUUCUCCCCCAGCGCAGCCUGCCUGGCAGCUUCCUGUGCUCCCAGCACGAAGCAGAAGAUGACCUUCAGCCAGAGGAGAGAGUGCAGUGCGGAUGAGAAGGACAUGGCACAGGGACGGGCCUGGUUGUUGGGGCGGGGACAGAAAUCCAUUUCCCUCUUUUCCUCCAACCCAGUGUGGGCGACUUCCUGAGUCUCCACAGUCUGAGGCUCUCACUGACCUGCUCCAAGUCUACCACGGGUUUCUUCGGCAGAUGGGACCCCUUGGCCUGUGCUACUCAGCACUGAGGUCGCGUGUGCAGCCUCCUGUGUGGAAGCUUCUGUAGUGCCUGCUGCUCUGGGCACCCGGGGCCCAAGCCUGCCUGCCCCCUGAAGCCUUCACCAGGUCAGGCAGGUGGCACGCACCCUGUGAGCUCCCUCAGCCGGAUGAAUCAGCCGCUUCACCCCACGCACCAGGACGGACACCCUGCUUUGAGUGUGUUAUGGGGACUCAGAAGCAGGAAGGAGCCUGGAUCGAGCUGCAGCCUGGUCUUGUCUGUCACUCCUCGGGAAGCAUGAGACAGAGGAGAUGCCACUCACUGUGGAGAACCGAGGGUUGCAGGGAGCUUUAAAGAUGCCCCAGGCCCCAGUCUCUGCUGCCCAGCCCAGGUCUGGAGCCACCUCAGAGUGAGCCACGCACGUGAGGGCAAAAGCAGGUGGAGUCUAGUGGCCACCUGGACAUGGGUCAGACAUGUGGGAAGUAGAAAAGCUCCUGUUUAAAGUUUCCUUUCUUGUUAAAGAACAAGUGUGCUAGUAACUGUGAAGCUCUGUCCUACGUAGCUGUUAGACCUGCCAUGCUUACAGGCACGUAGUACAUUCUAUGUCCUUGUACUUUAACCAAGAUACCUGGGCUGGACAUGCUCACAGGCAUGUCCCAGCUCUCCAUGGCUUUUACCUGUUUAGAAGUUUUAAGUUGUUGACCAAUCGGGUUUUAGUUUACAUUGUGAGGUCUGGCUCCAACCAGCGGAGACCAGACACAGCAGUAAGGAUGACCCCAAAUGCAUAAGGCACAAAUUUGUGGGUUUUCUUUUGUUCUUUUUACUCUCAUUGCAAGAUGGCUAGUGAGGGUGCCCUUUCUGCAGCCCAGGAAGUAAAAAUUGUGUUG